UGGGAUGUUCCCUAAGCACGACAGCGGAUAUGUGCUCUGCCUGCUAGCUCACUGUUGUUUGUGCUGGAAAGAACCCGGGCCCAGCCCAGAGCCACGUUGCAGGGCUCAGGACUGCUCUGAAACACUGCCACCUAGUGGCGUGAUGAGGGUUCUGUAGCUCAGGAAUCCUGAGAGAAGCAAGGAAGAAUCUUCUAGCAUGUGGGGGACUCUCGGGACCCAAGAGGGAGAGCAACUCCUAAAGACAUGGAGGCUUCUAGUACUUCAGGACAAUGGGUCUGAAAUUCUUGCUUGGGGCCAUAUGGAUUGGCCGCGCAGGGAGGAAAUUAUAUUCGGCUUUCUGUUUCUGCUCAACUCUUUCCACUGGGUAAGUGGGCCCUUUGAAGUGGCACUUGCCUUACCUCACAUUCUGACAGGAAUGACUGAUCGCCUUUCAGUCCACACAAGAUAAGGAGCCUCGUCUCAAAACUGCGGAGCUGUCUUAACUAAACAAUAGCGAACCACCCAGAGCACUCUUCCAAGACGGGAGAGAAUUCCCCACAUGUGUUAAGCAUUUUAUUCUUCCCAAACGCUUUACUCUGUAUUAUUGUGUUAAAUUGGAUAAUGUCAGCAUGAAAGGGCCGUGUCAAUUGUAUCAGAUAACAAAAAAGUAAGAUUUUGU
rnacentral:lncRNA from 1 species